AUGUAGCCAAGAGGAUCAAGGCAGUGGAUUUGA
rnacentral:tRNA from 1 species